AGCUAUAAAUUUCUUAGAGAUUUUUAUUGUGAUUAAAAAGGUUUUUAGCUU
rnacentral:tRNA from 1 species